GCGUGGCUUAAAGACCGAGGAGGUGGGGCUUCGCUCAUAGUCGUCUUAAGCCUGCCGGAGCAGCUGCGGACAGGCAGAAGUAGUCUUUGUAGAGGAACAAACUUCUUAAAGCUGUAUUGCCCUGGGAGUUUUCGACAUCGAAAAUGACAAAUGCAGUUUGUUGGUGUCGUGACGCUGAUCUGCUAUUUUACGACGACCGCAGGAGCCUGAUAACCACCAGAACUUAGGAACGAUGGAACCAGCUGACCAUGGACUUGAAACCUCAGCAACUAUAAGCCCAACCAAGGCCUGUUUAAGGGAGGAGACACGUGGUCACCUCCACGUCCACGUGAGGAGGGCUAAGAACAGUCUCGCUUUGUGCUGUGAGGAUAAACCAGAUGGUGCGGAUACCGUGCUCCGUGCUGUCUCCAGGCCUAAGACACAAAAACGGAACUCCGGGACAAGCCAGCAUGGCCGGAUGCCACGUAAAUGGACCUGCUCCUUUGGAAAGCGGUGCUUGGAAAUGAACAUCCCCUGACCUGAGAAUGGCUCUCCCGGGACUCCAGCUA
rnacentral:lncRNA from 1 species